rnacentral:lncRNA from 1 species
CAAGGCAUUUAAGUGCAUCUGUGAAUGCCCACACUGGAAUCUGUCCCACGAACUUCAGCUCUGCUUCACACUGACGAGUCCUACAAUUCUUUUCUGUGUGUAAGUCCAGAUCCCAGCUGCACCUGAGCAGUCAUCUCCAGGGGGAGCUUCUCAGGUUCCACAAUGCACAGGGCUAAAUUGUCUCCUGCUUCCACAGCAGCACCCAAGUAGCCAUCUCUAGAAGGAACCUCUCAGGUUUCACAAUACACAAGGUUAAAUUGUGACUUGUGGCCAAGGACACUUCCAUACCUACCUCCCCCGCAGGCUUCUAACUCUAACAGGCAGCACCAAGCCAGUCUCUGCCCAGCCCAAGACUCAGGAGCAGUUUCCAGAGCAACAGCAUACUGCAGGUUGGUAAGCUGAGGUGUAGUCAGGCGCUCAAGGACAUGUUGACAGGUCUCUUGCUGGGGUGAGGACGCCACACCAGCCCCUUGCAGCAAAUCGCAUUCGUAUCUUGCUCUCUUCUGGACUUUUGCUUCUAAGAUGGCAAAAAGUGUGAGUCAAUGAGACUGCAACCCAGCCAAAAGCACUGUCCCCAGCAGCCCAGAAGAGGUGGCGGUUGCAGAGAAGGCCAUAGAGGAUGAGGACUUAGAGUGGCUGGUCA